rnacentral:rRNA from 1 species
AUCUUUUAGCGGUGGAUCACUCGGCUAGUGUGUCGAUGAAGAACAUUGCUAGCUGCGAGAACUAAUGUGAAUUGCAGGACACAUUGAUCAUCGACACUUCGAACGCACCUUGCGGCCCUGGGUUCAUCCUGGGGCUACACCUGUGUGAGGGUUG